GAUGAACGCUGGCGGCGUGCAUAACACAUGCAAGUCGAACGGGAAUUAUUUUAUUGAAACUUCGGUCGAUUUAAUUUAAUUCUAGCGGCGGACGGGUGAGUAACGCGUGGGUAACCUGCCUUAUACAGGGGGAUAACAGUCAGAAAUGGCUGCUAAUACCGCAUAAGCGCACAGAGCUGCAUGGCUCAGUGUGAAAAACUCCGGUGGUAUAAGAUGGACCCGCGUUGGAUUAGCUUGUUGGCAGGGUAACGGCCUACCAAGGCGACGAUCCAUAGCCGGCCUGAGAGGGUGAACGGCCACAUUGGGACUGAGACACGGCCCAGACUCCUACGGGAGGCAGCAGUGGGGAAUAUUGCACAAUGGGGGAAACCCUGAUGCAGCGACGCCGCGUGAAGGAAGAAGUAUCUCGGUAUGUAAACUUCUAUCAGCAGGGAAGAUAGUGACGGUACCUGACGAAGAAGCCCCGGCUAACUACGUG
rnacentral:rRNA from 1 species